UCCCCAAUAGCUCAGGGGUAGAGCGUAUGGCUGUUAACCAUCGGGUCGUAGGUUCAAAUCCUACUUGGGGAG
rnacentral:tRNA from 1 species